GAUGAACGCUGGCGGCGUGCCUCAUACAUGCAAGUCGAGCGAACGGACGAGAAGCUUGCUUCUCUGAUGUUAGCGGCGGACGGGUGAGUAACACGUGGAUAACCUACCUAUAAGACUGGGAUAACUUCGGGAAACCGUAGCUAAUACCGGAUAAUAUUUUGAACCGCAUGGUUCAAAAGUGAAAGACGGUCUUGCUGUCACUUAUAGAUGGAUCCGCGCUGCAUUAGCUAGUUGGUAAGGUAACGGCUUACCAAGGCAACGAUGCAUAGCCGACCUGAGAGGGUGAUCAGCCACACUGGAACUGAGACACGGUCCAGACUCCUACGGGAGGCAGCAGUAGGGAAUCUUCCGCAAAGGGCGAAAGCCUGACGGAGCAACGCCGCGUGAGUGAUGAAGGUCUUCGGAUCGUAAAACUCUGUUAUUAGGGAAGAACAUAUGUGUAAGUAACUGUGCACAUCUUGACGGUACCUAAUCAGAAAGCCACGGCUAACUACGUG
rnacentral:rRNA from 1 species